UACGUAGGGGGCAAGCGUUGUCCGGAUUUAUUGGGCGUAAAGAGCGUGUAGGCGGCCAGGUAGGUCCGUUGUGAAAACUCGAGGCUCAACCUCGAGACGUCGAUGGAAACCAUCUGGCUAGAGUCCGGAAGAGGAGAGUGGAAUUCCUGGUGUAGCGGUGAAAUGCGCAGAUAUCAGGAAGAACACCUAUGGCGAAGGCAGCUCUCUGGGACGGUACUGACGCUGAGACGCGAAAGCGUGGGGAGCAAACAGG
rnacentral:rRNA from 1 species